UCUCAAAGAUUAAGCCAUGCAUGUCAUAGUACGAGCUUGAAUAAGGCGAAACCGCGAAUGGCUCAUUAAAUCAGUUAUGGUUCCUUAGAUGAGUGGAAAAUUUUACUUGGAUAACUGUGGUAAUUCUAGAGCUAAUACAUGCAACCCGAUCAUGAAACCCGAAAGGGUAAGUAAUGACGCUUUUAUUAGAUCAAAACCAAUACGACCUUCGGUCGUUCCUUUGAUGACUCUGGAUAAAGUUGUGGCGGAUCGCACGGUCCUCGUGCCGGCGACGCAUCUUUCAAAUGUCUGCCUUAUCAACUGUCGAUGGUAGGUUCUGCGCCUACCAUGGUUAUAACGGGUAACGGAGAAUCAGGGUUCGAUUCCGGAGAGGGAGCCUGAGAAAUGGCUACCACAUCCAAGGAAGGCAGCAGGCGCGCAAAUUACCCACUCCCAGCAUGGGGAGGUAGUGACGAAAAAUAACGAUGCGGGACUCAUCCGAGGCCCCGUAAUCGGAAUGAGACCACUUUAAAUCCUUUAACGAUUAUCCAUUGGAGGAAAAGUCUGGUGCCAGCACCCGCGGUAAUUCCAGCUCCAAUAGCGUAUAUUAAAGUUGUUGCGGUUAAAAAGCUCGUAGUCGGACUUGUGUCACACGCUGCCGGUUCACCGCCUGUCGGUGUUUAACUGGCAUGCCGUGCUGACGUCCUGCUGGUGGCUCUCCGGGGCCGGGCGCUCCGUCCAGGCACACCCCUCGAGGGAACCUGGGCGUCCCCGCGUCCUCGGGAGGGCCUGUCCUUACCCGUUGCGGUGCUCUUUACCGAGUGUCACGAUGGGCCAGCACGUUUACUUUGAACAAAUUAGAGUGCUUAAAGCAGGCUCCAAACGCCUGAAUACCGAGUGCAUGGAAUAAUGGAACAGGACCUCGGUUCUAUUUUGUUGGUUUUCUGAAUCCCGAGGUAAUGAUCAAAAGGGACGGACGGGGACAUCCGUAUUGCGACGUUAGAGGUGAAAUUCUUGGAUCGUCGCAAGACGAACCGAAGCGAAAGCAUUUGUCAAGAAUGUUUUCUCUGAUCAAGAACGAAAGUUAGAUGACCGAAGGCGAUCAGAUACCGCCCUAGUUCUAACCAUAAACGAUGCCAGCCAGCAAUUCGCCGAAGUUCCUCCGAUGACUCGGCAAGCGGCUCCCGGGAAACCUGAGCGAUCGGGUUCCGGGGGAAGUAUGGUUGCAAAGCUGAAACUUAAAGGAAUUGACGGAAGGGCACCACCAGGAGUGGGGCCUGCGGCUUAAUUUGACUCAACACGGGGAAACUUACCAGGUCCGGACACCGGGAGGAUUGACAGAUUGAGAGCUCUUUCUUGAUUCGGUGGGUGGUGGUGCAUGGCCGUUCUUAGUUCGUGGAGUGAUUUGUCUGCUUAAUUGCGAUAACGAACGAGAUUCUAGCCUACUAAAUAGUCGGUUUCCAUCCUCUGUGCUGGAAGCGACAACAUAUCUUCUUAGAGGGACAGGCUGCGUCUAGCAGUACGAGAUUGAGCAAUAACAGGUCUGAGAUGCCCUUAGAUGUCCUGGGCCGCACGCGCGCCACACUGAAGGAAACAGCGUGUGUCCGCUCUGGCCGAAAGGUCCGGGUAACCCGUUGAACUUUCUUCGUGAUAGGGAUUGGGGCUUGAAAUGUUUCCCAUGAACGAGGAAUUCCUAGUAAGCGGCGAGUCAACAGCUUCCGUUGAUUACGUCCCUGCCCUUUGUACACACCGCCCGUCGCUACUACCGAUUGAAUGAUUUAGUGAGGUCUUCGGACAGGCGGUCGGAUGCGUUACGCUUCCGAUUCGCCCGGAAGAUGAUCGAACUUGAUCAUUUAGAGGAAGUAAAAGUCGUAACAAGGUUUCC
rnacentral:rRNA from 1 species